rnacentral:rRNA from 2 species
CGUGCUUCGGAUGUUGGCAGAAUGGCUUUAAGCGACCCGUCUUGAAACACGGACCAAGGAGUCUAACAUGCUUGCGAGUGUUCGGGUGGAAAACCCUUGUGCGUAAUGAAAGUGAAAGUUGGGAACCUCCGCAAGGGGGUGCACCGACGCCCGGCCCUGACGUUCUCUGACGGUGCUGCGGUAGAGCAGGUAUGCUAGGACCCGAAAGAUGGUGAACUAUGCCUGAAUAGGGCGAAGCCAGAGGAAACUCUGGUGGAGGCUCGUAGCGAUUCUGACGUGCAAAUCGAUCGUCAAAUUUGGGUAUAGGGG